UAAAUGUAUAAUAUUUAGGAAUAUUUUAAUUAAUUUGUAUUCUAGUUUAAUUUGGUUUCCUAUUUAGAGUCUUAUUGUUUAGGUAUUGCUUGUUUGGGUAAUAUUUCUAAUUUAGGCAUAAGUCUUAUUAAAAUAGGUUUUCUAAUCAUAUUAGGAUAAGUCUUACUUAGUAUAAAUAAGUGUCUUUUGUAUCUUUUACAAGCAGAGAAUUUUGAGUUUAAUAAUAUUUCAAUUUUCAAAUUUCUUUGUGAGUAUUUGAACAGUUAAUUCUUGGUAUUCUACGGAAUCAACGAGUCUUAACCCCUAAAUUCACGGUAUUCUUUUGAAUCAACGUGAAUUUAGUUGUUCUUUUGUUCCGGUAUUCUCUAGAAUCAACGGAAUAUUUUGAACAUUAAACUUCCGCUCUGCUGUACCGUACAUCCGCCUUGGCCGUACAGCAGUGUAUAUAUUCAAGAAAAAGAAAUGCGAUCGGUAAAUGCACCCGUAAAGAUAUUUAAUAAAAACCUCCGAAGAUGUCGGAAAGCUCUGAAAACCUCGAAACCCAUGAAAACCCUAGUUUACUGAAAACGAUUCCACCACCGCUGCCUGAGGAUCGUUCUACCAAAAAGGCUCGUUUUCGUAGCCAUGGUAUGGAUGCGGAUAACCCACCGUCGCUAUCUUUCAAGGAUGCACUCAUGCCCCGUACUCAACAGAGAAGUUUCGAUGAUACUGAGAUGGAUGACGAGUGGGACUUUGAACCAGGAGACGUAAUUGUUGGGGACGAUGGUGCCAUGCCAACUAUUAAUUUUUCCCAACGAAUCCAUGAAAAAUUAGUUAAACCGUGGCAAAACUCUGUGGUGGUAAAGUUGUUGGGGAGGAAUAUGGGUCACAUUGUUCUAGUCAUGCAAAGGUCCUAUAAACUGAACCUAGGAAUUACAGCUAGCCCUUUGUCGCUCAGGCAAAAUCAGAAAGGCAUGAAAAACUCACUCCAUCUUAAUCAAUGUCUUCAUCUCUCCUAUAUCAUGGCAAUUGCUUAACUAAUCGACACUCAUAAAAUAAUUGCAGAUUGAUGCAGAGCAAGAAAUUGAAGAAAUCCUAAUUCUAUUUAAAUGUAUAAUAUUUAGGAAUAUUUUAAUUAAUUUGUAUUCUAGUUUAAUUUGGUUUCCUAUUUAGAGUCUUAUUGUUUAGGUAUUGCUUAUUUGGGUAAUAUUUCUAAUUUAGGCAUAAGUCUUAUUAAAAUAGGUUUUCUAAUCAUAUUAGGAUAAGUCUUACUUAGUAUAAAUAAGUGUCUUUUGUAUCUUUUACAAGCAGAG
rnacentral:lncRNA from 1 species